rnacentral:rRNA from 1 species
UGUCCUUUUGGUAAUAAUAUAAGGUCUAAUCUGCCCACUGAUUUAAUAUUAAAGGGCUGCAGUAUAUUGACUGUACAAAGGUAGCAUAAUCAUUAGUCAUUUAAUUGAUGACUUGUAUGAAAGAUUGGAUGAAAUAUUAGCUGUCUCUUAAUUAAAAAUAGAAUUUAAUUUUUUAAUUAAAAAGUUAAAAUAGUUUAAAAAGACGAGAAGACCCUAUAGAGUUUUAUAAAUAAAUUAAUUGAGGUUAUUUAUAUUUAAUAAAAUUAAAAUUAGUUUAAUUAUUGUGUUGGGGUGAUAGAAAAAUAUAUUUAACUUUUUUUAUAUUUAAAACAUUUAUAAGUGGUUAAAUGAUCCAAUAUUAUUGAUUAUAAGAAAAAAUUACCUUAGGGAUAACAGCGUAAUUUUUUUUUUUAGUUCAUAUAAGAAAAAGAGUUUGCGACCUCGAUGUUGGAUUAAGAUAAAAUUUAAAUGCAGAAG